rnacentral:RNase_P_RNA from 1 species
ACGGAGGAUCGGGCAGCCGCUGCAAGUACGCGCUUGCAGAGGAAAGUCCGGGCACCACAGGACAGGAUACCUUUUUACAGAGGGGCCCGCAAGGGUACGGAAAGUGCCGCAGAGAGAAGACCGCUCUUUUUUGUUAAGGGGUGAGUUGUGAAAGGGUGGGGUAAGAGCCCACCGCGCCUGUGUAAACGGGCGGCAGGUAAACCCUAUCCGGUGCAAGGCCAAGCAGGUGGAGUUCCCCCUUAAGGGGGAGGGAGUGGUUCCGCUCCUCUCUCUAUCGGGUAGGCCGCUCAAUGUCUCAAAAUUCACGUUUUGGGGCCAGACAAAUGGCUGCCUCUCUCAUUUAUGAGAAAGACAGAACCCGGCUUACAGAUCCUCCUUUUUU